rnacentral:rRNA from 1 species
UACCAGCUCUCCGAGUGGUAGGGAUGAUUAUUGGGCUUAAAGCGUCCGUAGCCGGCUUAGCAAGUCUCCUGUCAAAUUCAGCGACCUAAUCGUUGAGCCGCGGGAGACACUACUAGGCUAGGAGGCGGGAGAGGCCGACGGUAUUCUCGGGGUAGGGGUGAAAUCCUAUAAUCCCGGGAGGACCACCAGUGGCGAAGGCUGUCGGCUAGAACGCGCUCGACGGUGAGGGACAAAAGCUGGGGGAGCGAACCGGAUUAGAUACCCGGGUAGUCCCAGCUGUAAACGAUGCGGGCUAGGUGUUGGGGUGGCUACGAGCCACUUCAGUGCCGCAGGGAAGCCAUUAAGCCCGCCGCCUGGGGAGUACGGCCGCAAGGCUGAAACUUAAAGGAAUUGGCGGGGGAGCACCACAAGGCGUGAAGCUUGCGGUUC